rnacentral:rRNA from 1 species
AUUGAACGCUAGCGGCAGGCUUUACACAUGCAAGUCGAACGAGUGGCGGACGGGUGAGUAAUGUCUCGGAACCUGCCCGGUAGCGGGGGAUAACUACUGGAAACAGUCGCUAAUACCGCAUACCAUCGGAUCUGCCCAGAUCGGAUUAGCUAGUUGGUGGGGUAAAGGCUCACCAAGGCGACGAUCCCUAGCUGGUCUGAGAGGAGGACAAGCCACACUGGGACUGAGACACGGGCCAGACUCCUACGGGAGGCAGCAGUGGGGAAUAUUGGACAAUGGGCGAAAGCCUGAUGCAGCCAUGCCGCGUGUAUGAAGAAGGCCUUCGGGUUGGAAAGUACUUUCAGCAGGGAGGCGGUACCCGCAGAAGAAGCACCGGCUAACUACGUGCCAGCAGCCGCGGUAAUUC